GCCGGCUAACUCUGUGCCAGCAGCCGCGGUAAUACAGAGGGUGCGAGCGUUAAUCGGAUUUACUGGGCGUAAAGCGUGCGUAGGCGGCUUAUUAAGUCGGAUGUGAAAUCCCCGAGCUUAACUUGGGAAUUGCAUUCGAUACUGGUGAGCUAGAGUAUGGGAGAGGAUGGUAGAAUUCCAAGUGUAGCGGUGAAAUGCGUAGAGAUCUGGAGGAAUACCGAUGGCGAAGGCAGCCAUCUGGCCUAAUACUGACGCUGAGGUACGAAAGCAUGGGGAGCAAACAGGAUUAGAUACCCUGGUAGUCCAUGCCGUAAACGAUGUCUACUAGCCGUUGGGGCCUUUGAGGCUUUAAUGGCGCAGCUAACGCGAUAAGUAGACCGCCUGGGGAGUACGGUCGCAAGACUAAAACUCAAAUGAAUUGACGGGGGCCCGCACAAGCGGUGGAGCAUGUGGUUUAAUUCGAUGCAACGCGAAGAAGCUUACCUGGCCUUGACAUACUAGAAACUUUCCAGAGAUGGAUUGGUGCCUUCGGGAAUCUAGAUACAGGUGCUGCAUGGCUGUCGUCAGCUCGUGUCGUGAGAUGUNGGGGUAAGUCC
rnacentral:rRNA from 1 species